rnacentral:rRNA from 1 species
UACGUAGGUGACAAGCGUUGUCCGGAUUUACUGGGCGUAAAGAGCGCGCAGGCGGUCGUUCAAGUCGAGUGUGAAAGCCCCCGGCUCAACUGGGGAGGGUCAUUCGAUACUGAUCGACUCGAAGGCAGGAGAGGGAAGUGGAAUUCCCGGUGUAGUGGUGAAAUGCGUAGAUAUCGGGAGGAACACCAGUGGCGAAGGCGGACUUCCUGGACC